rnacentral:tRNA from 1 species
CCCGUCGAUAGCUCAGUUGGCAGGCGGUGGACUGUAGAUCCAUAGGUCGCUGGUUCAACUCGGCUCAUGGGA